rnacentral:rRNA from 5 species
UAAGGGAGCUAUGCCGGAAGUGCUCCACCCGAUUCCAUUCCGAACUCGGAAGUGAAAUCUUCCAGGGCUGAUGGUAGUCCUUAGGGGCGAGAGUAAGUCGCUCCCUUAC